GUGAGGAAUAUUGGUCAAUGGACGUGAGUCUGAACCAGCCAAGUAGCGUGAAGGAUGACUGCCCUAUGGGUUGUAAACUUCUUUUAUAUGGGAAUAAAGUGAGGCACGCGUGCCUUUUUGUAUGUACCAUUAUGAAUAAGCAUCGGCUAACUCCGUGCCAGCAGCCGCGGUAAUACGGAGGAUGCGAGCGUUAUCCGGAUUUAUUGGGUUUAAAGGGAGCGUAGGUGGACGAUUAAGUCAGUUGUGAAAGUUUGGGGCUCAACCUUAAAAUUGCAGUUGAUACUGAUUGUCUUGAGUGCGUUAAAGGUGGGCGGAAUUCGUGGUGUAGCGGUGAAAUGCUUAGAUAUCACGAAGAACUCCGAUUGCGAAGGCAGCUCACCGGGCCGUAACUGACACUGAUGCUCGAAAGUGUGGGUAUCAAACAGGAUUAGAAACCCGAGUAGUCC
rnacentral:rRNA from 1 species